CCUACGGGAGGCAGCAGUGAGGAAUAUUGGUCAAUGGGCGUAAGCCUGAACCAGCCAAGUCGCGUGAGGGAUGAAGGUUCUAUGGAUCGUAAACCUCUUUUAUAAGGGAAUAAAGUGUGGGACGUGUCCUGUUUUGUAUGUACCUUAUGAAUAAGGAUCGGCUAACUCCGUGCCAGCAGCCGCGGUAAUACGGAGGAUCCGAGCGUUAUCCGGAUUUAUUGGGUUUAAAGGGUGCGUAGGCGGCCUUUUAAUUCAGCGGUGAAAGUCUGUGGCUAAACCAUAGAAUUGCCGUUGAAACUGGGAGGCUUGAGUAUGUUUGAGGCAGGCGGAAUGCGUGGUGUAGCGGUGAAAUGCUUAGAUAUCACGCAGAACCCCGAGUGCGAAGGCAGCCUGCCAAGCCAUGACUGACGCUGAUGCACGAAAGCGUGGGGAUCAAACAGGAUUAGAUACCCGUGUAGUC
rnacentral:rRNA from 1 species